GCAAAGAUGCAAACUGGCUGUUGGGUGCUAUUUGUGCACGCAGUAUCAAAUCUAACGCUUUACGUUCCCCCCCGGGGGAGUAGUGUCACAAGACUGAAACUCAAGGGAAUUGACGGGGGCCCGCACAAGCGGGGGAGUAUGUGUUUUAUUUCAAUGCAACGCGAAGAACCUUACCUGGUCUUGACAUGUCGAGAACUUUCCAGACAUGGAUUGGUGCCUUCGGGAACUCAAACACAGGUGCUGCAUGGCUGUCGUCAUCUCGUGUCGUGAGAUGUUGGGUUAAGUCCCGCAACGAGCGCAACCCUUGUCCUUAUUUGCCAGCACGUAAUGGUGGGAACUCUAAGGAGACCGCCGGUGACAAACCGGAGGAAGGUGGGGAUGACGUCAAGUCAUCAUGGCCCUUACGACCAGGGCUACACACCUACUACGGUGGUGAGGACAGGGGGCUGCAAACCCACGAUGACAAACUAACCCAAAAACCCCUAUCUCAGUAUUGAUUGCAGUCAGCAACUUGACUCCAUUUGGUCAGAAUCCUUAUUAAUGACAAAUCCGCAUUGCUGAGGUGAAUCCGAGCUCUGGCCUGGCACACCCGCCCCGUCAAGGAAUUGUAGUUUGUCACAUGGUAAGGAAUUAACUCACCCGUGAGUAAAGCGUAUCUAAUGUUUGUGAAAGGUGUCCG
rnacentral:rRNA from 1 species